UAUUUUUAUUUUAAAAAUAUCAAAAUGACUGUCAAAUACUGUUCAAAGAAUAAUGUUCAUUCAGGGAAAAAAUUACUGCUCAUUGUCCUGUAGAUCUGAAACUCUAGAGGGAUACAUCAUCAAAAUUCCUAAGACCAACUCUUCCAUGUGCAUAUCACAUGCCAUAUUCUGAUCCACAAAAGUUUUUAUGGCUUGGCUUUCAUAAGACAACAGUUACCCAACAA
rnacentral:lncRNA from 1 species